GUAUGAGACAGAGAUAAAAAGGGACGUGCAACGUGCUCCUAAUCUAUUCCUUCAGUUUCUCCACAAUGUGUAGAAGCUUUUCAUCAGUUCCAAAAUUGUCUUCCUAAAAAUUCUUUUACCUUAAUCCCAAUAAAUUAACCACCAAGUGAUAGCGAGAGAGAAGCGGAGUAGGCAACAAACGGAGGCAAGUAUUCUUCAUAAGUAGUGUUGAUAGAUAACAUAUGGAGGCAAGUAUUCAUCAUACAUAAUAUAGGACUCUCCAGAGUUACAAUAAUUCUAUCUUUUUUAGUGCAACAAGUUAGUUUUUUUUUUUUUGUUCAAAAUACAACUUUUAUGGGUUAUUUUCAUAAUUAUUGCUAAUGGGUUGACUGUUUGCGUUGUUUUUAAAGGAAUUUUGAAGGUUCGGAGUUUAUUUUUUGGGCAAUUUAGCUUCUGGGUUUCUCCGUUUCUAGUUCAACAACUUAGUUUUCUUUUUAUACAGUUUUUGCAAUAUUCAAUUUAUAAGAGGUAUUCUCUGCAAUUUACCUUUUGAUGUAUCCCACAUUUAUGAUAAAAUUGAGAUAUUACUUCGUAGGAUACCAUAUGCGGAAGUAUCGAAUUUACUCAAUAAUUUAUGACAUAGCAUUUCGAAGAAGCACAUUAUUAGUCAUAUAUUCAAAUUUGUAAUGUGAGUCAUUGUUGAGUUGUUAGAUGGCCAUUGAAAGUUUUGUGCCGGAUAGCUCUUAAACACAUAAACGAAGUGACAUCUCAAACCAAGUCAAUUGCUACCCCAUUAAUAAUAUGACCUAUAUCACAAGGACAGCCUGCCAGUAACAUGUCUCUGACUCAGUCAUGUCAAAUACAAAUGCAUGCUAGGGGAAAGCACAUAACAACACAGGCAACAAAGACAUGUCAAACUCUCCAUAUCAAAAUGCCUUGGGUGCUGGAAGAGUUGUGUUGCAUAGCGAUUGAUCAUAGACAGUAAACAAUGGAUUCCCUUAAUUGAAAAGAUAGUAGCCAGAAUUACAUCUUGGACUGCAAAGAAGUUGUCUCAUGCUGGAAGGGCCCAACUGGUAAAAUCAGUGUUGUUUGGAUUACAAGCUUAUUGGGCUCAGUUGUUUGUUAUCCCAUCCAAGGUGCUCAAGGCCAUUGAAGCUUAUUGUAGAUCUUAUGUAUGGUCUGGUGCAAACACUAUUACUAAAAAAGCCUUGGUGGCAUGGGACAGGGUAUGCCUUCCUAAAACAGCAGGGGGGUAAACUUGAUCAAUCUUUAUCUAUGGAAUAAAGCUGCCUUGAUUAAAACCUACUGGGACUUGGAAAACCAACAAGACAAGUUGUGGAUAAAGUGGAUACAUGCCUAUUACAUCAAAGGUCAGAAUUUUUACAAUGCUCCAGCACCUAAACAAGCUUCAUGGAUGGUGAGGAAACUAUUGGAAAUGAGAGGUACCUUGCAGCAGCUUCAGUUGAAUCUUGUGUCUCCUUAAAGCUUCAUCAGACAGAUCUAUUUGCAGUUACUAGGGGACAGACCAAGAAUAGCAUGGAAGUGUUUGGUUUUUCAAAAUUCAGCCAGACCUAAAGCUCAGUUCACCCUAUGGUUGCAGAUACAGGACAGACUUCUCACUGCAAACAGGUUGUGUAAGUGGGAAUGGAUGUCAACCAGAUUUGUUCAUUGUGUAAUGGCCAUCAAGAGUCCAGAGAUCAUUUGUUUAUUCAGUGUCCCUAUUCUCUGCAAGUAGGGCAUAAGCUCAUAGCUUGGAUGAAACAGACUCAAUUUGUAGUCUCAACGUGCCAACAACGUGUGGAAUGGGUUAUCACUAAGUCUACUGGCAGAAGUCAAGCAGCUCAGCUGUUCAAGUUGGCAUAUUUAGAAGUUGUGUAUGCUUUAUAGAUUGAAAGGAAUCAAAGGGUAUUUGAAUCAAGGAGAAAGGAGUGGCAGCAGAUUGCUAGAGACAUUGUGUAUUUCUGUAAUGUGAGAGCACCAGUGGGUAUUAGAACUUAUGUGGCUCAGCUCAUGUUCUGAAAAUUGUAUCUAGUUUCCAGCUAGCUUUGUUAGUUUUGUAGUCUUUAAUUACUUAUAGAAAAUAGCCAAUUGUGAUGAUUGGGCUAUAGUUUUGUAAUGUUCACUUUGGUGAUUAAUACAAUAUGUUUAGUUACCAAAAAAAAAGAAUAAAUUUUUGUGAUGUUACACAACAUUAUACGAUUUUGUUUAUUGCCAUAUCAUAGUAUCUUUUUACUGCUUA